CCUACGGGAGGCAGCAGUGGGGAAUAUUGCACAAUGGGCGCAAGCCCGAUGCAGCCAUGCCGCGUGUAUGAAGAAGGCCUUCGGGUUGUAAAGUACUUUCAGCAGUGAGGAAGGGGAUGUCGUUAAUAGCGGCAUCUCUUGACGUUAGCUGCAGAAGAAGCACCGGCUAACUCCGUGCCAGCAGCCGCGGUAAUA
rnacentral:rRNA from 1 species